rnacentral:rRNA from 1 species
AAAUUGAAGAGUUUGAUCAUGGCUCAGAUUGAACGCUGGCGGCAGGCCUAACACAUGCAAGUCGAACGGUAACAGGAAGCAGCUUGCUGCUUCGCUGACGAGUGGCGGACGGGUGAGUAAUGUCUGGGAAACUGCCUGAUGGAGGGGGAUAACUACUGGAAACGGUGGCUAAUACCGCAUAACGUCGCAAGACCAAAGAGGGGGACCUUCGGGCCUCUUGCCAUCAGAUGUGCCCAGAUGGGAUUAGCUGGUUGGUGAGGUAACGGCUCACCAAGGCGACGAUCCCUAGCUGGUCUGAGAGGAUGACCAGCCACACUGGAACUGAGACACGGUCCAGACUCCUACGGGAGGCAGCAGUGGGGAAUAUUGCACAAUGGGCGCAAGCCUGAUGCAGCCAUGCCGCGUGUAUGAAGAAGGCCUUCGGGUUGUAAAGUACUUUCAGCGGGGAGGAAGGUGUUGUGGUUAAUAACUGCAGCAAUUGACGUUACCCGCAGAAGAAGCACCGGCUAACUCCGUGCCAGCAGCCGCGGUAAUACGGAGGGUGCAAGCGUUAAUCGGAAUUACUGGGCGUAAAGCGCACGCAGGCGGUCUGUCAAGUCGGAUGUGAAAUCCCCGGGCUCAACCUGGGAACUGCAUUCGA